rnacentral:rRNA from 1 species
AGUGAACGCUGGCGGUAGGCCUAACACAUGCAAGUCGAACGGCAGCACAGUAAGAGCUUGCUCUUACGGGUGGCGAGUGGCGGACGGGUGAGGAAUACAUCGGAAUCUACUUUUUCGUGGGGGAUAACGUAGGGAAACUUACGCUAAUACCGCAUACGACCUACGGGUGAAAGCAGGGGAUCUUCGGACCUUGCGCGAUUGAAUGAGCCGAUGUCGGAUUAGCUAGUUGGCGGGGUAAAGGCCCACUAAGGCGACGAUCCGUAGCUGGUCUGAGAGGAUGAUCAGCCACACUGGAACUGAGACACGGUCCAGACUCCUACGGGAGGCAGCAGUGGGGAAUAUUGGACAAUGGGCGCAAGCCUGAUCCAGCCAUACCGCGUGGGUGAAGAAGGCCUUCGGGUUGUAAAGCCCUUUUGUUGGGAAAGAAAGGCAGCAGGUUAAUACCCCGCUGUUCUGACGGUACCCAAAGAAUAAGCACCGGCUAACUUCGUG